UACGAAGGGAGCAAGCGUUAUUCGGAAUCACUGGGCGUAAAGGGCGUGUAGGCGGUUGAUUAAGUCAGUUGUUAAAUUCCUCAGCCUAACUGAGGCACAGCGAUUGAAACUGAUCAGCUAGAGUGCAGAAGAGAGAAGUGGAAUUAUCGGAGUAGCGGUAAAAUGCGUAGAUCUCGAUAGGAACACCGAUGGCGAAGGCAGCUUCUUGGUCUGUUACUGACGCUAAAAUGCGAAAGCGUGGGGAGCAAACAGG
rnacentral:rRNA from 1 species